GAUGAACGCUGGCGGCGUGCCUAAUACAUGCAAGUCGAGCGAACAGACGAGGAGCUUGCUCCUCUGACGUUAGCGGCGGACGGGUGAGUAACACGUGGAUAACCUACCUAUAAGACUGGGAUAACUUCGGGAAACCGGAGCUAAUACCGGAUAAUAUCUUGAACCGCAUGGUUCAAUAGUGAAAGACGGUUUUGCUGUCACUUAUAGAUGGAUCCGCGCCGCAUUAGCUAGUUGGUAAGGUAACGGCUUACCAAGGCAACGAUGCGUAGCCGACCUGAGAGGGUGAUCGGCAACACUGGAACUGAGACACGGUCCAGACUCCUACGGGAGGCAGCAGUAGGGAAUCUUCCGCAAUGGGCGAAAGCCUGACGGAGCAACGCCGCGUGAGUGAUGAAGGUCUUCGGAUCGUAAAACUCUGUUAUUAGGGAAGAACAAAUGUGUAAGUAACUAUGCACGUCUUGACGGUACCUAAUCAGAAAGCCACGGCUAACUACGUG
rnacentral:rRNA from 1 species